GUGAAAUUUUUAAUUAAGAUGAAAUUCUCUUUAAAAUCUUUUGGAACUAAAAAAUUUAGAUAAAAAACCAGGAUUAGAUACCCUGUUAUUCUAAGUAAUGAUGUAAGUAGGGUAGUAAAAGUUGUUCUUCAAACCCAAAGAUUUUGGCGGCACCUUAUCCUAAUAGAGGAGCUUGUCCUGUAAUUGAUAAUCCUCAUUUUAUCUUACCUUCUUUUGUUUAGCUUGUAUACCGCCGUUGUCAGAUUACUUUAGAAGAAUGUUUUCAAGAAAAAUAAUUUUUUAACUUCAGGUCAAGGUGCAGUUUAUGGGAAGGUAGUGAUGAGCUACAAUUUCUAUUAGAAAAUACGAAUCCUAGGCUUAAAAGUCGGUGGAAGGUGGAUUUAUUAGUAAAUUUAUUUAAGUAUAAUAAAUUGAAUGAGGCAAUGGGGUGUGCACAUAUCGCCCGUCACUCUCUUCUUAAGNGGAGAUAA
rnacentral:rRNA from 1 species